CAGAAGUCCAGCCACUGGGCUCCUUCAGGACACAGGACUCUCAGCCCCGCAUUCUCCUCCUCCCCUAAGAACUAGGAGUCUGGGCCCCACAACUCAGCGCAAGCAUUCCGGACUCCCAGCCCUCCUCUCUGCCAGGAUCUUAAAACCCUCCUUCAGGGAGUCAUUUUUCCCACCUUCCUAAAUGUCUGUCUUGUCCCCUUCCCUUGCCCCCCGUUGGCCUGUUGCUUUUCAUUUCAGCCUGGCUUGGGGCUCAGUCUCCUUAUCUUUAGUGUGCGGUGGAUGCGGGAAUUUCCACCAUCAGCCUGAUGCCCGCUCCCCGGCACUGGUUCUCCUCUCUCCUGCAGGAUGAUUGCCGCCGUGGACACAGACUCCCCCCGAGAGGUCUUUUUCCGAGUGGCAGCUGACAUGUUUUCUGACGGCAACUUCAACUGGGGCCGGGUUGUCGCCCUUUUCUACUUUGCCAGCAAACUGGUGCUCAAGGCCCUGUGCACCAAGGUGCCCGAACUGAUCAGAACCAUCAUGGGCUGGACAUUGGACUUCCUCCGGGAGCGGCUGUUGGGCUGGAUCCAAGACCAGGGUGGUUGGGUGAGACUCCUCAAGCCUCCUCACCCCCACCACCACGCCCUCACCACCACCCCUGCCCCACCGUCCCUGCCCCCUGCCACUCCUCUGGGACCCUGGGCCUUCUGGAGCAGGUCACAGUGGUGCCCUCUCCCCAUCUUCAGAUCAUCAGAUGUGGUCUAUAAUGCGUUUCCUUACGUGUCUGAUCAAUCCCUGAUUCAUCUACCCUGCUGACCUCCCAGUGACCCCUGACCUCACUGUGACCUUGACUUGAUUAGUGCCUUCUGCCCUCCCUGGAGCCUCCAC
rnacentral:sRNA from 1 species